UGAGGAAUAUUGGGCAAUGGGGGCAACCCUGACCCAGCCAUGCCGCGUGAGUGAAGAAGGUUUUCGAAUUGUAAAGCUCUUUCGGAUGUGACGAUGAUGACGGUAGCAUCUAAAGAAGCCCCGGCAAACUUCGUGCCAGCAGCCGCGGUAAUACGAAGGGGGCGAGCGUUGUUCGGAAUUACUGGGCGUAAAGGGUGUGUAGGUGGACGUGUAAGAUAGCGGUGAAAUGCCGGAGCUCAACUUCGGAAUUGCCAUUAUAACUAUGCGUCUAGAAUUAUAGAGAGGAUAGCGGAAUACCCAGUGUAGAGGUGAAAUUCGUAGAUAUUGGGUAGAACACCAGUGGCGAAGGCGGCUAUCUGGCUAUAUAUUGACACUGAGGCACGAAAGCAUGGGGAUCAAACAGGAUUAGAUACCCUGGUAGUCCAUGCCGUAAACGAUGAAUGCUGGUUGUCGGACGAAUGUUCGGUGACGAAGUUAACGCGAUAAGCAUUCCGCCUGGGGAGUACGGCCGCAAGGUUAAAACUCAAAGGAAUUGACGGGGACCCGCACAAGCGGUGGAGCAUGUGGUUUAAUUCGAUGCAACGCGAAGAACCUUACCAACUCUUGACAUCCUCAUCGGGGAGGACAGAGAUGUCUUCUUUCAGUUAGGCUGGAUGAGUGACAGAUGCUGCAUGGCUGUCGUCAGCUCGUGUCGUGAGAUGUUGGGUUAAGUCCCGCAACGAGCGCAACCCCUGCUACCAGUUGCCAUCAGGUAACGCUGGGCACUCUGGUAGGACUGCCGGUGACAAGCCGGAGGAAGGUGGGGAUGACGUCAAGUCAUCAUGGCUCUUACGAGUUGGGCUACACACGUGCUACAAUGGCGUAAACAAAGGGAAGCGAGCCUGCGAAGGUAAGCAAAUCCCAAAAAUAACGUCCCAGUUCGGACUGCAGUCUGCAACUCGACUGCACGAAGCUGGAAUCGCUAGUAAUCGCGGAUCAGAAUGCCGCGGUGAAUACGUUCCC
rnacentral:rRNA from 1 species